UACGUAGGGGGCUAGCGUUGUCCGGAUUUAUUGGGCGUAAAGGGUGCGUAGGUGGCAAAGUAAGUUGGAUGUGAAAUCCUGGGGCUUAACCUCAGAAUUGCAUUCAAUACUGCUUAGCUAGAGAGCUGUAGAGGAGACUGGAAUUUACGGUGUAGCAGUGAAAUGCGUAGAUAUCGUAAGGAACGCCAGUGGCGAAAGCGAGUCUCUGGGCAGCAUCUGACACUGAGGCACGAAGGCCAGGGGAGCAAACGGG
rnacentral:rRNA from 1 species